UACGUAGGGGGCAAGCGUUGUCCGGAAUUAUUGGGCGUAAAGGGCUCGUAGGCGGUUUGUCGCGUCGGGAGUGAAAACACUGGGCUUAACCGAGUGCUUGCUUCCGAUACGGGCAGACUUGAGGCAUUGAGGGGAGAACGGAAUUCCUGGUGUAGCGGUGAAAUGCGCAGAUAUCAGGAGGAACACCGGUGGCGAAGGCGGUUCUCUGGCAAUGUUCUGACGCUGAGGAGCGAAAGUGUGGGGAGCGAACAGG
rnacentral:rRNA from 1 species